AGGAAAGAAAAAGAGCAAGGGGUCCGUCUAUCUAUCACUUGCUUCAUUCACAAGCCAUACAACGAUACAAGUAGUUUCAAAACUCUUUUCCUUUGGAAGUCCACUUCUCUUACUAGCCAUUUUGGACUUUGACCUUUUCCUCUCACUAGCUAAUGACUAGGGAUGGUCCCAGCACCGCCACCCCAAAUAUUCUAAAAUACUCCAGGUUUUUAGUAGUAUGUAUCACCUACAAAUAUUGUUAAAUUAUACAUAUUCUCACCAUAAAAU
rnacentral:lncRNA from 1 species